UUUUUUUUUUUUUUUUUUUUUUUAAACAGAAACUGUUCCGCCAAAGGGUACUUCACACAGCCAUUCGCCUCCUGCAGAUUACUGUCUCACACACACUCAUGAAGACUAAAAGGCAUAAAGUCUUUGGUUACGAACUGGGUUUUUUUUUUAGUUUUGCUAACGGAUCAUAUUCUAACCUGGUUCUUAAGAAUUUCUUCCACAGGUGCACAAUUACCUGCAGAAAUCCUUGGCGGUUUUCUGGGCGGCGGGGUUGCUGGAGGCGAGGAGAAUCACGUGGUUGUAGCAGUGCUCCAGCUCCUCCAUGAUGAAGCCGAGGUCCGAGGAGAGCUGAGGAGCAGCAGUGAAGCGCCAGAACAGCGUGGGAAUGUACACAACCACAGCCAGCAACAGAAGAAUCAAAAAUGAUGAUUAUGAAUACACAAACACACACUCACCCAUGGACACUUCCUUGGCAAAAGCGAGGGAGAUAAGUAGCAGAGGAAGCCCCACCGUGACGAGUAACCUGUUUAUCUGUGGCCAGUACCACGUGCACCCCUCUGUAUGUCCCCUCGGUGGGUUUCUUCAUCAGAAAAUUAGGAAACAUGUUCUAUCGACUGUUAUUACAGCGAGAGCUAAUGUUAUCGGUUAUAGAUACAGCAAGAACUAAUGCACUGCAAUACAGAGCUGUGAAGUUAAUCAGACAUGGGCGUAACCACGCAUUCUUUAAGGGGGGGUCGUGUCACCCCAAUGUUGAGGAAAUCCCUAUAUAUAUAUAUAUAUAUAUAUAUAUAUAUAUAUAAUUACAAAAUAUUUUCUAUAUGUCCCCGUUUAAUCAACCCUGCCAACAGAUCUGUCUUUUCUACAUCUAUUCUAUUUAUUUGUCUAUUCUCUUUUAAUAUAUUUCCGUUUGUUAAGGAAAAUAGGUGUGACCCCCACUCCAAUUGUACACUUGGUUGCGCCCAUACUCAACGCAAGUUCCUUGCUAUAUUAGCCGCUCAGUCUGUAAGAAAUGGAGACAGCAGCCAAGUGUAGAAAAGUGCAGCAGAACAUACGAACUUUUUUUCCAGACAGUCAGUAACUAGUUACCUAAAUAGUAGGUGACCUUAGAUUAGUAUAGAAGUCAUCAUACCAUGGCUUAGUUUGUUCUUAAUAAUGUCAAUUCAAUUUUGAUAUUUUCAAACCGGUGAAGUAGACUAUGCAAACGUCACUUCCGGUUUUGACCAUUAACGGUACAUUCACUUGUAUAUCCUCCCGCCGAGUUCACUAUGAGGAUAGCAGCGUUUCAUUCCUUGACACUACAUUUGGGCUAAGGACAACUAAGUGAUUUCACAAAUAUAAGCUAAACAGAUCGGCAAAGCGACUACAGCUGUCAGACAGGCCCUGGGUGCAGACGAAGGCAGGCAGGCGCUCGUAGGGUUUAAGCAACUGGCUUUGCUGCCUCUGCCGGGCACGUAGGCAUGCUGCGUGGAUCACCACAAACACUAGCAGGAUCAUGUACACAAAGACAUUAACGCAGCUGAAGCCUUGGAACACGCCCACGGACACCAUCUUGCAUGGCACGCGCUCCGAUUCAGGACAACACCUGAGAACACACGGAUUAGCGAUUAAACGCUCGUAGGGACUGACAUGACAGCAUGCAAUCCAUGUACACUGGAAUCCAUCAGUCAUGAAGGUCUGACAUACCAGUGUGCAAUUCGCAGGAGAAGUGGUCAAUCUGAGACACCUUGAUGUAGUACAGCAGGCAGCUGCAAGCCAGGAUUAACGUGGAUAGAGUGAGAAGCCGACAUAGCAGGUACUUCCACGCCAGUGCCUGUGUCACCAGUUUGGUUCUCAGAAACUGUUCCACCAGAGGGUACUUAACGCAGUCCUUCGCCUGCCGCAGAUUCCUGUCUCACACACACUCAUGACGACUAAAAGGCAUAAAGUCUUUGGUUACGAACUAGGGUUUGUUCUUCAGAAUUUUUCCCACAGGUGCACAAUUACCUGCAGAAAUCCUCGGUGAUGUCCUUGGCGACGGGGUCGCUGGAGGCGAGGAGAAUUGCGUUGUUGUAGCAGUGCUCCAGCUCCUCCAUGAUGAAGCCGAGAGCUGAGGAGCAGCAGUGGAGUGCCAGACCAGCGUGGGAAUGUAGACAACCACAGCCAGCAACAAAAGCGUGUAAGGAAAGUAAAACAAAAUUUCAUUGAUAAACAAUUUAUCUGUGCAUCGUGUUACGGAACAGACCUGCAGACAUUUAUAGGUCUUCCUUUCACCAGAACAAUGCGGGAAUUUACAUGAACAAUGAAUGCCACCCAUGGCUCAAGAUUUUCAAAAUCACUGGACCUUUCCUCAGUUCCUGACCAAGCCUGGACAGGAGGACACAAUACUCGUAAAAUAUUGUUGCUUUUUCAUUGAAUGUUUGAAUGUGGUUCGAAUGAUUACAUCAUUUGUAACGACUGUGGGGUGGGACAGUUUGUAUUAUUAUAAUUACUCUGGUAUCAAUAACUGUUUGUUUUGUUUUUGUUUUUUUUAACAAAAAUUGUGGAGCAGCCGAGAACUUGGCAAUGUAAAUAUUUUUGUACAUCUACCAGAUUGCCCGUUGUGUAAAUUAUUUGGAACCUCUAGGCCUGUAAUAUAUAAAAAUAUUCCCAGAAAUUGUAUGUGUAGGCUUUUCGGUCACUAACCCACAGACAGGGUGUGUGGUCCAGCUGGGGGGAGACAACCUUUGUUGAAGAAUGCAUGAUAUGCUGUAUUUCUGCUAAUUGAGCUUGGGUGUUACAUAUUUGAUAAACUCACAUUUUGUUAUUUAGGCUGAGUGUUACAUAUCUAGUUCAUUCUUUUCAUUUAUACCAAACGCUAUGCAUUGUCUUUUGGCAUUUAGCUGAAGUGCUAUAUACAUAAAUAUAUUGAAUUUACUCUUGUAUUUUUGUACCCUUGUCGGCAGAAUUAACAGUUGUGUACCACAUACUCUUGUACUUUUUUUAAUAUUUGAGUCAAAUUAGGAUCUUCAAUAGCCUAUGUCCCAAUUUGCACUGUAUAGAAAAGGGAACCCUUUUCUCCUUUGUUUGUGAGUAUAAGGGAAGGAGUGUUCAUGACGUGGACUGACAUAGACCGCAUCGUAACAACGUUGAUCACUAGUUGGUGUAAAUGAAGGGACUGGAUUGUGAGAUUACUCUCUCAAGCUAGAUGGAAUUUAAUAAGUCCCAUAGGAAAAAUGUAUAGAAAAUUUCUCUGAAGUGUAAUCAAUGUGUAACUAAUAUUGGGAUAUGUUAAUGAAGUGUACUUAAUAUAUAUAACCAACAUUUAGAACUAUUACUUAAGCAUAAUUGAAUAAUCAAUAUUGGUUAAAAAGCAGAAUCUAUAUGUAUAAUCAAUAGUUAGAAACAUAAUCAAAAUCCAUAGAACAAUGUUUGAUCAAGUUAAAUUCUGAGUGUGGUUUGAGUACAAUAAAUGUUCUUCUGUAUCAACUGGCACUUUUAUGCACUGCAAUAAAUUUGCAUUAGAUGUUCGCUUUUGUGGAUGAAUGACCUUGAUGCCACGUGCUAGUUAGGGAGUUGGAAGAGGGCCUCAGGAAGGGAGGUAGAUAUCAGCCAGGACAGCCGAUAGAGACAGACAGAUGCUCCACAAAUUUAAGGUAACGCAUAGACAUGAAUAAUUAAUUAAGGCAAUAGAGAUUGGUUUGUUCCUAGAAAGAAAAGGUGAAUGCCCCACCAAGGGAUAAUUUUACUGUUUCCAAAAAGUAUAUAAAGACAUGUUUGUGUAUGUACAAUUUGGACUUUCUGCAGACUGUCACACUGUA